rnacentral:rRNA from 1 species
CCGACACGACCGUACCGCAAACCGACACUGGUGCGCGAGAUGAGUAUUCUAAGGCGCUUGAGAGAACUCAGGAGAAGGAACUCGGCAAAUUGACACCGUAACUUCGGAAGAAGGUGUGCCUUUAGUAGGUGAAGGGAUUUACUCCCGGAGCCCAAUGAGGUUGCAAAAAAUCGGUGGCUGCGACUGUUUAAUAAAAACACAGCACUCUGCAAACACGAAAGUGGACGUAUAGGGUGUGACGCCUGCCCGGUGCUGGAAGAUUAAAUGAUGGGGUGCAAGCUCUUGAUUGAAGUCCCAGUAAACGGCGGCCGUAACGAUAACGGUCCUAAGGUAGCGAAAUUCCUUGUCGGGUAAGUUCCGACCUGCACGAAUGGCGUAACGAUGGCCACACUGUCUCCUCCUGAGACUCAGCGAAGUUGAAAUGUUUGUGAUGAUGCAAUCUCCCCGCGGAAAGACGGAAAGACCCCAUGAACCUUUACUGUAGCUUUGUAUUGGACUUUGAACAGAUCUGUGUAGGAUAGGUGGGAGGCUUUGAAGCAGGGUCGCUAGAUCUUGUGGAGCCAACGUUGAAAUACCACCCUGGUGUGUUUGAGGUUCUAACCUAGGCCCGUAAUCCGGGUCGGGGACAGUGCAUGGUAGGCAGUUUGACUGGGGCGGUCUCCUCCCAAAGCGUAACGGAGGAGUUCGAAGGUACGCUAGGUACGGUCGGACAUCGUGCUAAUAGUGCAAUGGCAUAAGCGUGCUUAACUGCGAGACUGACAAGUCGAGCAGAUGCGAAAGCAGGACAUAGUGAUCCGGUGGUUCUGUAUGGAAGGGCCAUCGCUCAACGGAUAAAAGGUACUCUGGGGAUAACAGGCUGAUACCGCCCAAGAGUUCAUAUCGACGGCGGUGUUUGGCACCUCGAUGUCGGCUCAUCUCAUCCUGGGGCUGUAGCCGGUCCCAAGGGUAUGGCUUUCGCCAUUUAAAGAGGUACGUGAGCUGGGUUUAAAACGUCGUGAGACAGUUUGGUCCCUAUCUUCCGUGGGCGCUGCAGAUUUGAGGAAGCCUGCUCCUAGUACGAGAGGACCGGAGUGGACGCACCGCUGGUGUAUCGGUUGUCAUGCCAAUGGCAUUGCCGAGUAGCUAUGUGCGGAAGAGAUAACCGCUGAAAGCAUCUAAGCGGGAAACUCGUUUCAAGAUGAGAUCUGCCGGGGCCUUGAGCCCCCUGAAGAGUCGUUCAAGACCAGGACGUUGAUAGGUCGGGUGUGGAAGCGCAGUAAUGCGUUAAGCUAACCGAUACUAAUUGCUCGUGCGGCUUGACCAA